rnacentral:rRNA from 1 species
GGGUGAAAAGCCCGCUCGCCGGAAGACCAAGGGUUCCUGUCCAACGUUAAUCGGGGCAGGGUGAGUCGACCCCUAAGGCGAGGCCGAAAGGCGUAGUCGAUGGGAAACGGGUUAAUAUUCCCGUACUUGGUGUUACUGCGAAGGGGGGACGGAGAAGGCUAUGUUGGCCGGGCGACGGUUGUCCCGGUUUAAGCGUGUAGGUGUGUGUUCCAGGUAAAUCCGGUUCACUUUAACACUGAGGCGUGACGACGAGGCACUACGGUGCUGAAGCAACAAAUGCCCUGCUUCCAGGAAAAGCCUCUAAGCAUCAGGUAACAUCAAAUCGUACCCCAAACCGACACAGGUGGUCAGGUAGAGAAUACCAAGGCGCUUGAGAGAACUCGGGUGAAGGAACUAGGCAAAAUGGUGCCGUAACUUCGGGAGAAGGCACGCUGACACGUAGGUGAAGUGAUUUACUCAUGGAGCUGAAGUCAGUCGAAGAUACCAGCUGGCUGCAACUGUUUAUUAAAAACACAGCACUGUGCAAACACGAAAGUGGACGUAUACGGUGUGACGCCUGCCCGGUGCCGGAAGGUUAAUUGAUGGGGUCAGCGCAAGCGAAGCUCCUGAUCGAAGCCCCGGUAAACGGCGGCCGUAACUAUAACGGUCCUAAGGUAGCGAAAUUCCUUGUCGGGUAAGUUCCGACCUGCACGAAUGGCGUAAUGAUGGCCAGGCUGUCUCCACCCGAGACUCAGUGAAAUUGAACUCGCUGUGAAGAUGCAGUGUACCCGCGGCAAGACGGAAAGACCCCGUGAACCUUUACUAUAGCUUGACACUGAACAUUGAGCCUUGAUGUGUAGGAUAGGUGGGAGGCUUUGAAGUGUGGACGCCAGUCUGCAUGGAGCCGACCUUGAAAUACCACCCUUUAAUGUUUGAUGUUCUAACGUGGACCCGUAAUCCGGGUUGCGGACAGUGUCUGGUGGGUAGUUUGACUGGGGCGGUCUCCUCCUAAAGAGUAACGGAGGAGCACGAAGGUUGGCUAAUCCUGGUCGGACAUCAGGAGGUUAGUGCAAUGGCAUAAGCCAGCUUGACUGCGAGCGUGACGGCGCGAGCAGGUGCGAAAGCAGGUCAUAGUGAUCCGGUGGUUCUGAAUGGAAGGGCCAUCGCUCAACGGAUAAAAGGUACUCCGGGGAUAACAGGCUGAUACCGCCCAAGAGUUCAUAUCGACGGCGGUGUUUGGCACCUCGAUGUCGGCUCAUCACAUCCUGGGGCUGAAGUAGGUCCCAAGGGUAUGGCUGUUCGCCAUUUAAAGUGGUACGCGAGCUGGGUUUAGAACGUCGUGAGACAGUUCGGUCCCUAUCUGCCGUGGGCGCUGGAGAACUGAGGGGGGCUGCUCCUAGUACGAGAGGACCGGAGUGGACGCAUCACUGGUGUUCGGGUUGUCAUGCCAAUGGCACUGCCCGGUAGCUAAAUGCGGAAGAGAUAAGUGCUGAAAGCAUCUAAGCACGAAACUUGCCCCGA